UACGUAGGGUCCGAGCGUUGUCCGGAAUUACUGGGCGUAAAGGGCGCGUAGGCGGUUUGCUAAGUUGAAUGUGAAAACUCUGGGCUUAACCCAGAGCCUGCAUUCAAUACUGGCAGGCUAGAGUUCUGGAGGGGAUAGCGGAAUUCCAGGUGUAGCGGUGAAAUGCGUAGAUAUCUGGAGGAACACCGGUGGCGAAGGCGGCAUCCUGGACCAAUAUUGACGCUGAGGAGCGAAAGCCAGGGGAGCAAACGGG
rnacentral:rRNA from 1 species